GGAUGCGAUCAUACCAGAAUUAAAGCACCGGAUCCCAUCAGAACUCCGAAGUUAAGCGUGCUUGGGCGAGAGUAGUACUAGGAUGGGUGACCUCCUGGGAAGUCCUCGUGUUGCAUUCC
rnacentral:rRNA from 1 species